rnacentral:rRNA from 1 species
UACGUAGGGGGCGAGCGUUGUCCGGAUUUAUUGGGCGUAAAGAGCUCGUAGGCGGCUUGGCAAGUCGGGUGUGAAACCUCCAGGCUCAACCUGGAGACGCCACUCGAUACUGCUAUGGCUAGAGUCCGGUAGGGGACCACGGAAUUCCUGGUGUAGCGGUGAAAUGCGCAGAUAUCAGGAGGAACACCGGUGGCGAAGGCGGUGGUCUGGGCCGGCACUGACGCCGAGGAGCGAAAGCGUGGGUAGCAAACAGG